rnacentral:lncRNA from 1 species
CCCUUCUCCUCUCUCUCUUGGCCGGCCACCAUCGCCGGCGACUGCAGCAGGGGUGGCCGGCGAUGGUUCGGCCAAUGGUGGCCGAGGGUGGGGAAGGUGAGGGCACAGCCACCCUGGCUGUUGCCCUUGGACCAAAGAGGCGGAGGAAGAACCCUUCUCUCUCGUCCAUCCUUUCUUUUGGUCUCUUCACCGGGACUGAUUAUCGUCGCGGCGUGGUUGCGGCUAUGGCGGACGACGACAUAGGCUGGUGGUACAAGGGUGGGAGUCGGGCCACCCCGACUGCCCUAGAAUUGGAGGAAUUGAGAUGUUUGGGGAUCUGGAGAUGGACCCCAUAGUAAAUGUCAAUUAUGGUUUAGAAUAUUUAAAUAUUAAAUGAUUUAGUUUGUAAUUUGCAAUUGAUGUUGUAGAGGAAGAGUCGACGGAGCCAGAAGGUUUUGAUCAGGGGACUCAGCACCCCAACGCGUAGGUUGUGAUUCGGACCGUGUUGAGUCAGUCUACAAUUUCUGUAAGAAUCCUUGUACGCCAAUCCUACAUGAUAUACAUAUUUUUGCACUAUAUAUGUUUGAUAUGCUAUGAUCCAGACAAAGCAAAAUAGUUUUAUAUUUAAUUAUAUUUUGAUCGUGUUGGCUUGUGGUUGGUAGUGUGAUGGAUGUUUGUAUGUGUAUAACUUAUACCUGCAUAAUUGAAUUUAUGGAUGUGGUGGUAUGGACUAACCAUGUUACAGCGAUUGCCCUGUCACGGGCCGGAAACGUGACCACGGUUAGUCUAGGCCGGAAAUAAAGUGGAAAAGGGAAUGGAU